GACGAACGCUGGCGGCGUGCUUAACACAUGCAAGUCGAACGGAAAGGCCCUGCUUUUGUGGGGUGCUCGAGGGGCGAACGGGUGAGUAACACGUGAGUAACCUGCCCUUGACUUUGGGAUAACUUCAGGAAACUGGGGCUAAUACCGGAUAGGAGCUCCUGCUGCAUGGUGGGGGUUGGAAAGUUUCGGCGGUUGGGGAUGGACUCGCGGCUUAUCAGCUUGUUGGUGGGGUAGUGGCUUACCAAGGCUUUGACGGGUAGCCGGCCUGCGAGGGUGCCCGGCCCCAUUGGGACUGAGGUACGGCCCAGACUCCUACGGGAGGCAGCAGUGGGGAAUAUUGCACCAUGGGCGGAACCCUGAUGCGGCAACGCCGCGUGCGUGAUGGCGGCCUUCGGGUUGUAAACCGCUUUCGCCUGUGACGAAGCGUGCGUGACGGUAAUGGGUAAAGAAGCACCGGCUAACUACGUG
rnacentral:rRNA from 1 species